UGGGUACCCCCACCCCCCCAGUUCAGCCUGCCCAGCCUGUCCCUUGCACGGGGUACCUCCAGGGUUGGGCACCCACAGCUCUGGGCAGCAUUGCUGGGGCCUCGUGGCCUCUGGGUAAAAGAUUUCUUCCUCACAUCUAACCUCAGUCUCCCCUCUGUUAGUUUGAAGCCAUUCCCCCUCACCCUAUUGCUAUCAGACAGGUAAAAGUCGCUCCCCCUCCUGCCUGUACCUCCCAGUACUGGAAGGCUCAGUGAGGUCUCCCUGGAGCCAAACACCCCCAGCUCCAUCAACACGUCUCCAUAGCAGAGGUUCUUCAGCACUCUGAGCAUCUUUUGCUCCCACUCCCACAGCUCCACAUCCCUCCUGUUUUGGAGACCCAGACCUGGAUGCAGCACUGCAGUUUGGGGCCAUGCAAAGGCCCUGCACAACUGCAGCCUGGCAACUUGAGUUGCCCUUCCUUUGUCCACCGAUGCCAUCACUGAAGGCCACCAGGAAACGCUCUAAUUUAUGGUAUAAUCUUGGCAAAUCCCAGUCCUGGGGAACACAAAUUCGCUUGUGCCCAGUAAAUGGCACUUUAAUGGGCUGCCUCCAGCUGGCCUGCGUGUCUGCCUCUGAAAAGAGAGGAUUAUAACCUCCCCCGAGCAGAGGGGCUGUGUGUCAGCAGGGAUGGGGACAGUGGUGGAGCAGCACAUGGAGGAGUGUGGCCCUGCAGGCGGAGAGGAGAGGGGCUCUUUGGGGCACGGAGGGGUUCUGAGAGCCCCACGUGAACCCAUCUAACAAAAAUAAAUCAGUUUAACGGAGA